rnacentral:rRNA from 2 species
UGAGCUCAGGCAAGGUUACCCGCUGAACUUAAGCAUAUCAAUAAGCGGAGGAAAUC